rnacentral:tRNA from 1 species
GAAGACCCUUUAAUAGAGGUGACAGGCCUAACGAACUUAGUGAUAGCUGGUUGCUCAAGAAAAGAAUUUUAGUUCAACCUAA